GGCAAGAUGGCCGAGCGGUCCAAGGCGUGUGACUCAAGCGAAAGCUUGCCUGCUCAACGCGGGUCUUCUCAUCAGGGUUUCCUGGCAUGGGUUCGAAUCCCAUUCUUGUCA
rnacentral:tRNA from 1 species